AUUGAACGCUGGCGGCAGGCUUAACACAUGCAAGUCGAGCGGAGAUGAGGUGCUUGCACCUUAUCUUAGCGGCGGACGGGUGAGUAAUGCUUAGGAAUCUGCCUAUUAGUGGGGGACAACAUUCCGAAAGGAAUGCUAAUACCGCAUACGCCCUACGGGGGAAAGCAGGGGAUCUUCGGACCUUGCACUACUAGAUGAGCCUACGUCGGAUUAGCUAGUUGGUGGGGUAAAGGCCUACCAAGGCGACGAUCUGUAGCGGGUCUGAGAGGAUGAUACGACACACCAGGACCGAUACACGGCCCAGACUCCUACGGGAGGCAGCAGUGGGGAAUAUUGGACAAUGAGCGGAAGCCUGAUCCAGCCAUGCCGCGUGUGUGAAGGCCUUUUGGUUGUAAAGCACUUUAAGCGAGGAGGAGGCUACCUGGAUUAAUACUCUAGGAUAGUGGACGUUACUCGCAGAAUAAGCACCGGCUAACUCUGUGCCAGCCGCCGCAGUAACAC
rnacentral:rRNA from 1 species